rnacentral:ncRNA from 1 species
AUAAAGCAAUGCUGAACGCACAGAAGUCAGCAGAGGUCAUAGUAGCCGAGAGGUGAA